rnacentral:rRNA from 1 species
UACGUAGGGGGCAAGCGUUGUCCGGAUUUAUUGGGCGUAAAGAGCUCGUAGGCGGUCUGUCGCGUCGGUCGUGAAAACUUGGGGCUUAACCCCGAGCUUGCGGUCGAUACGGGCAUGACUGGAGUUCGGCAGGGGAGACUGGAAUUCCUGGUGUAGCGGUGGAAUGCGCAGAUAUCAGGAGGAACACCGAUGGCGAAGGCAGUUCUCUGGGCCGUAACUGACGCUGAGGAGCGAAAGCGUGGGGAGCGAACAGG